rnacentral:misc_RNA from 1 species
UACGAACCGUACGAACGUUAUUCGGAAUCACUGGGCUUAAAGGGUGCGUAGGCGGCGCGGAAAGUUGGGUGUGAAAGCCCCCGGCUCAACCGGGGAACAGCGCCCAAAACUGCCGUGCUCGAGGGAGAUAGAGGUGAGCGGAACUUAGGGUGGAGCGGUGAAAUGCGUUGAUAUCCUAAGGAACACCCGUGGCGAAAGCGGCUCACUGGGUCUCUUCUGACGCUGAGGCACGAAAGCUAGGGUAGCGAACGGG